rnacentral:rRNA from 1 species
UACGUAGGGUGCGAGCGUUAAUCGGAAUUACUGGGCGUAAAGCGUGCGCAGGCGGUUAGGUAAGUUUGAUGUGAAAUCCCCGGGCUCAACCUGGGAACUGCAUUGAAGACUGCCUAACUAGAGUACGGCAGAGGGGGGUGGAAUUCCACGUGUAGCAGUGAAAUGCGUAGAGAUGUGGAGGAACACCGAUGGCGAAGGCAGCCCCCUGGGCCGAUACUGACGCUCAUGCACGAAAGCGUGGGGAGCAAACAGG